AGAGUUUGAUCCUGGCUCAGGAUGAACGCUAGCGGCAGGCUUAACACAUGCGAGUCGAGGGGCAGCGGGGAGGAAGCUUGCUUUCUCCGCCGGCGACCGGCGCACGGGUGAGUAACACGUAUGCAACCUGCCCCUGUCAGGGGGACAACCCGCCGAAAGGCGGGCUAAACCCGCGUACAUGCCACCGGGGCAUCCCGGAGGCAGGAAAGGCUUCGGCCGGACAGGGAUGGGCAUGCGGCGCAUUAGGCAGUAGGCGGGGUAACGGCCCACCUAACCGACGAUGCGUAGGGGUUCUGAGAGGAAGGUCCCCCACACUGGUACUGAGACACGGACCAGACUCCUACGGGAGGCAGCAGUGAGGAAUAUUGGUCAAUGGUCGGGAGACUGAACCAGCCAAGCCGCGUGAGGGAGGAAGGUACAGAGUAUCGUAAACCUCUUUUGUCAGGGAACAAAGGCGGGGACGUGUCCCCGGAUGAGUGUACCUGAAGAAAAAGCAUCGGCUAACUCCGUGCCAGCAGCCGCGGUAAUACGGAGGAUGCGAGCGUUAUCCGGAUUUAUUGGGUUUAAAGGGUGCGCAGGCGGUCUGUUAAGUCAGCGGUCAAAGCCCGGGGCUCAACCCCGGCCCGCCGUUGAAACUGGCAGUCUCGAGUUGGAGAGAAGUAUGCGGAAUGCGCGGUGUAGCGGUGAAAUGCAUAGAUAUCGCGCAGAACUCCGAUUGUGAAGGCAGCAUGCCGGCUCCACACUGACGCUGAGGCACGAAAGCGUGGGUAUCGAACAGGAUUAGAUACCCUGGUAGUCCACGCAGUAAACGAUGAAUGCUGGCUGUCCGGGGGGAUUGACCCCUGGGUGGCGAAGCGAAAGCGAUAAGCAUUCCACCUGGGGAGUACGCCGGCAACGGUGAAACUCAAAGGAAUUGACGGGGGCCCGCACAAGCGGAGGAACAUGUGGUUUAAUUCGAUGAUACGCGAGGAACCUUACCCGGGCUCAAACGGGGAGUGACUCAGGCAGAGACGCCUGUUUCCCACGGGACACUCCCCGAGGUGCUGCAUGGUUGUCGUCAGCUCGUGCCGUGAGGUGUCGGCUUAAGUGCCAUAACGAGCGCAACCCCCGCGUGCAGUUGCUAACAGAUAACGCUGAGGACUCUGCACGGACUGCCGGCGCAAGCCGCGAGGAAGGCGGGGAUGACGUCAAAUCAGCACGGCCCUUACGUCCGGGGCGACACACGUGUUACAAUGGGUGGUACAGCGGGAAGCCAGGCGGCGACGCCGAGCGGAACCCGAAAUCCACUCUCAGUUCGGAUCGGAGUCUGCAACCCGACUCCGUGAAGCUGGAUUCGCUAGUAAUCGCGCAUCAGCCAUGGCGCGGUGAAUACGUUCCCGGGCCUUGCACACACCGCCCGUCA
rnacentral:rRNA from 1 species